GCAGUACGCUGGAAGGACACUCAGAGACAUCGCUGCUCAGCAGCCUCUGCUGAUCGUCUUCUCCUUAUCAUCUGC
rnacentral:miRNA from 12 species